rnacentral:ncRNA from 1 species
AUUUUAGCUUUGAUAAGGAAAGUAAAAUAGAGCAUGAUUUUCAGAGAGUCUUCGGUUGGUGCAAGAAGAUAGUUAAGCUUUAUUUGAAAAUCACCUUGAGCAGGAAGUACGAUACUAGUAUUUUCAGGGUCCGCCCUUUAUAGCGGCGACGUAUCGCCGAUCAUUUUUGAUUGGCCGCACCUGCAUGAGGUCAGUAACUUUGUUAUUGAUGAAGAAUAGGUGGUACCGUGCAUAGACGCCCUAUUA